rfam:Hordeum vulgare subsp. vulgare, WGS project CAJW01000000 data, contig: morex_contig_1703321
AUAAUACUCCCUCCGUCCGGAAAUACUUGUCCUAGAAAUGGAUGUAUCUAGACUUAUUUUAGUUCCAAAUGCAUUCAUUUCUAAUCAUUUUUGCGACAACUAAUUCCGGAUGGAGAGAGUAUAUU